CCAGUUUGCGCUGCUUAAGAGCGUCUCGCUCUCCGUCGGCCCCUGAGGGUCGCGAAACUCAGCCCUCCUCAGGUACGACUCACUACAGAAAACAGUAAGACUUGGAGGCAGCGCUAUGGCAACAGCAGAGCCCGGCAUUAAGAUUCCGGUGGCGUUCCGAUCGCGAGCACACUAGUCACAGGUUUCUCGGGGAAUCUCCUCCAGGCUGCGCUUCCAAGGUCUUUCUGCAGUGACGGGACCACACCUGCAGCACGUACGUCACAGAUACUGUAAAUACAACAGAGAUAACAGGUGGAGGUCGGGCGUGGCUGUUCCUGGUCGAAGCCUUGGAGGCAAAAUCUCUCUAAUGCACUUAGAAUCUGGCACAUACACCUUCCUCCCACUCAGGAAGUCCUGAUGGGGCAGAGAGCACUCACUGCAAAGAAGACAGAGGGGAGAGAGAGAGAAUCCACCGGAGCAUAAACCCCCUGGAGACUGACAGUACAGUGCUUGUAUCUGUGAUGAGGGUGUGUAUGCGUGUGUGCGUGUGUGGGUGUAUUUCAGAGAGGAAAGGACAUGUGGCAGAUUUAAGAGCACUUGUGUGCAGCACGAAGGUGUUUUCCGCCAAGUUGGGAAAUUUUUUUUUUGUCAAAACACGGGCUGAUUGCCAUGGUUAUAAUUACGCUAAUGGCUUCAUUACGGGCAUUAAUUCAGCCCUCAUCAGUCUUUUGCCAGUGAUUAGUUCAAAGUGGAGGAGAGGUGAAACAUAGAGUUCUCAAAAGAAAAUGAUUUUCCUAAACAGGCAGAAUCUACCGGAUCAAGAUGUCCUCCCACAAUCCCUCAUGGUUUUGUAACACACAGAGACUCCGGCCAAUAUCAUCAGAUGGAGUUUGUCAGAUGGAAACUGAUAUAAUCCUGAUUUACUGUUAUGACACCAACUGAAGAUGCACUCGAAAGAAGAAUUCUUCGGCUGAACUUAAUUCAAUUGUGGACAGCACUUCCACACGUUGGAAAUGGGUUUUCCUGACAUUAAAUUAAACUGUGAACCUUGUGAAGUGGAAACCUAACAGAAUAGAAUAAAUGCAAUAAAAUUAGACAUAUCAAAUUAGACCAACCAAGGAUUUGGUAUUUACAUCAGACUUCAUGGAUUUUUAUUAUCGGGUAACUAUGAGAUCAGAUUUCCAUGAAGAGGAUACUAGCUGAUAUCUGGA
ensembl:lncRNA